AUUGAACGCUGGCGGCAGGCCUAACACAUGCAAGUCGAGCGAGCGGCGGACGGGUGAGUAAUGUCUGGGAAACUGCCUGAUGGGGGGGGAUAACUACUGGAUACGGUAGCUAAUACCGCAUACCCUCAGCUGUGCACAGAUGGGCUGAGCUAGUGGGUGGGGUAACUGCUCACCUAGGCGACGAUCCCUAGCUGGUCUGAGAGGAUGACCAGCCACACUGGAACUGAGACACGGUCCAGACUCCUACGGGAGGCAGCAGUGGGGAAUAUUGCACAAUGGGCGCAAGCCUGAUGCAGCCAUGCCGCGUGUGUGAAGAAGGCCUUCGGGUUGUAAAGCACUUUCAGCGGGGAGGCGUUACCCGCAGAAGAAGCACCGGCUAACUCCGUGCCAGCAGCCGCGGUAAUAC
rnacentral:rRNA from 1 species